UGGAACAUAGCCAAGCGGUAAGGCUCUUGAUUCUGAAUCAAGUAUGCGUUAGUUCGAAUCUAACUGUUCCAACCA
rnacentral:tRNA from 1 species